GAAAUUUUCUGUUGACAAAUUCCUUUUUGUUAUUUCAUUUCUCUAUCGAUUUUCUUUCAUCAAAUUUAUAAGAACCGAGUGACUGACAUCUAGUUGUAAGCUUAUUAACUAGGUUUACAUGUAAAGCAAGAUUGAAGCAACAGAAAUGUAAAUUUCACCCUCAGUACGCAAUCAUUAACACUAGCUCCUGGGCCAUAUUACCCGCUAGAGAUGAAAGAGCACUAGCAAUAGCAAAAAAUUGGUCCAGUAGCAGCCUCAAUUAAUGCGAGUCCUCAUCCUUUUCAGCUUUAUCAUAAAGGAAUGUACGAUGAUAUAAGCUGUUCUUCGAAUACAGUUAAUCAUGCAAUGCUUAUUGUUGGUUAUACAAAAGAUGCCUGGAUUUUGAAGAAUUGGUGGGGUAACCAUUGGGGGGAAAAUGGAUAUAUGAAGCUCAGAAGACGUUAAAAUAGAUGUGGAGUGGCGGAUUAUGCUGCAUACGCUUUACUUUAAACUCCAGUUCAAAAUGGGUCAGAUAGAACUACAGUCUUCAACAGCAACACAUUUUUAUUCACUUUAGCUAAGAGAUUUUGAUGAUUUUUACAAGUUCAGAACUACUUAUAGGAUAUUAAUCGUAUUUCCUUUAUAUUUUUUUCAGUUGAUAUUUACUCUGAGAAUGAC